CCCGGGAAACUGGGGAUAAUACCGGAUGGAUCACUAGUGCUGGAAUGCUUGGUGGUUUAAAGGUAACGCCUUUGGAUGGGUCUGCGGCGGAUUAGGUUGACGCCGGUGUAACGUACCGGCGUGCCUGUAAUCCGUACGGGUUGUGGGAGCAAGAGCCCGGAGAUGGAUUCUGAGACACGAAUCCAGGCCCUACGGGGCGCAGCAGGCGCGAAAACUCUACAAUGCAGGCAACUGCGAUAGGGGGACAUCGAGUGGCAUCCACCUUGGGUGCCUGUCCAACCGUCUAAAAAACGGUUGUUAGCAAGGGCCGGGUAAGACCGGUGCCAGCCGCCGCGGUAAUACCGGCGGCUCGAGUGGUGGCCGAUAUUAUUGAGUCUAAAGGGUCCGUAGCCGGCUUUGCAAGUCCCCUGGGAAAUCCAGCGGCUUAACCGUUGGGCUUUCAUGGGAUACUACAUUGCUUGGGACUGGGAGAGGUAGGAGGUACUCGGGGGGUAGGGGUGAAAUCCUGUAAUCCUCCGGGGACCACCGGUGGCGAAGGCGUCCUACCAGAACAGGUCCGACGGUGAGGGACGAAAGCUAGGGGCACGAACCGGAUUAGAUACCCGGGUAGUCCUAGCCGUAAACGAUGCCCGCUAGGUGUCACGACGGUCGUGAAUCGUCGUGGUGCCGUAGGGAAGCCGCGAAGCGGGCCACUUGGGAAGUACGGCCGCAAGGCUGA
rnacentral:rRNA from 1 species